GGGCGUCGGAAAGCGGCCUUCUGGGACUCCGCAAACUCCCGUUCUCCCUCCCCCCUCCCCCUUGCCAUUCCCUUUGCCUUCCGGGCGCCAAGUCUCUCUGGCCUCCAAGGUGAACCCAACUCCCCAGCGCGCCCCGGGUUCCCGGGUCGGGCCGGCUUCAGGCGGUGGGGAGCGGGAUCCCGGGCCCCGGGCGGGCGGGAGGGACGGGACGCGGUGCAGUGUUGUUUUUUCCCCCGCCAAUAUUGCACUCGUCCCGGCCUCCGGCCCCCCCGGCCCCCCGGCCUCCCCGCUACCCCUAGCGGGGCAGCCCCCGCCCUCCUGGCUCUCCAUCCCGGCGGAUCUUUGAUAGACUGGAGUGUCGCCGCUGCCACCGUGAACGGGAAAAUGGGUCAUGGAGGAGUGACUUCACCAACAUCACUCAUAGGUGCUUGUGUCCGUGGUGAGAAGGGUGAUGGAGAGAAGUGGCUGCAGUUCCCACCCAUGGAGAGGUCACUGGUGAAUCCCAGCUAAAGAGGAAGGACAGGCCCGGCCUGAGUCCCACAGGGCUUGCUGCCUCCACCUGGGCAAAGGCAACACCAGUCUAACGUGCUCUGGGUCCGCAGGCUUACCAUCUGAGUCCUUCUGAUUGGGAUUGGGUACCAGGCGGCAGUUAUCGGGACCAGGAGGCACAUAAUCUGGGAUGCCAUCAUUGUCAUCAUCCCCAUCACACUCAUCUCCAAGUCCAUCGUUAUCAGAGUCCAGCUGGGAGCUAUUUGGCAGCUGUGGGCAGUUGUCCUUGGUGUCCUGAUGCCCAUCCCCAUCGCUAAUCAGAAGAACAGGUUGGUGAAAGUCCCGAACUUUGUCUCCCCACCCAGAGGACAACUGGCCAGGAAAUCUGCCUGUUUCUUGUCUCACCCUCUAGUCCACACUCUGCCUAACACUACGCCCUACCUCACAUUCCUAUUGACAUCUGCUGCAGAUCACACCCUUGUGAUGGACAAACUGCUCAGUACAGUCCCACCCACCCAGCCUCCUUGUCCUGGGCACGAGGUUUUUGCCUCCCUGAUUUGGAGUAUUUGGCCCUUACUAGAGAGCUGCCAGAUGAGAACUCAGAGGCUCCUCCCGGCUCACCUGCAUCCUCAAAUACGCCUUCUGUCCAGUCCUAAUCUCCAGCCCAUCGACCUCCGCUGGAGGAAUGGGGGCCAGUGCUGGAAGGCCUGCAUGUUGGUCACCCAGUUUGCAGUCCACGUAGAGAUGUAGGGCAGGGCUGGGUCUGGAGGGACCUCGGAGUCGCAGGAGAACUGUGUGUGUGCGCCCAUCAGCCAGGCCCGCUUGCUGUAGGUUCACGGCGUGGACUUUGCCAUCCUCCCGCUGGUAUCGCACCAGUACUGCCCAGGAGGGGAGAUCAGUAUGGGCGCUAUCCCCCACCCCCUGCCUCCCAGCUGAGCCUUGGAUCAACUCUGCUAGAUACCACAUCUCUAGGGCCCCUAUCCCUAAUUCUACUAUGUGGCUCUCAACACCUUGUAUUUAAUAGGUACACAAUAAAUGUUUUUGAAAUUGC
rnacentral:lncRNA from 1 species